rnacentral:misc_RNA from 1 species
CCUUCUGAUCCUCAACCUCUUUCUUCUUCUCAACCUACUAGACAUUCUACAAGAUCAAAAAGACCACCUACAUACUUAUAGGAUUAUCACUGCAGCCUUGCUUCCUCAACAACUACCAAUGCUCAUGAUUCCACAGGUAUUCUUUAUCCUUUGUCCUCUGUUUUGUCUUAUCAUUCUUUGUCUCCUGCUCAUUUUCACUUUACUUUAUCCAUUUCCACCAAUGUUGAGCCUAAAACAUAUACACAAGCUGUUAAAUUAGAUGUUCGGAAAGAGGCUAUGGCUAA